rnacentral:rRNA from 1 species
GUGCCAGCAGCCGCGGUAAUACGGAGGGAGCUAGCGUUGUUCGGAAUUACUGGGCGUAAAGCGCACGUAGGCGGCUUUGUAAGUUAGAGGUGAAAGCCUGGAGCUCAACUCCAGAAUUGCCUUUAAGACUGCAUCGCUUGAAUCCAGGAGAGGUGAGUGGAAUUCCGAGUGUAGAGGUGAAAUUCGUAGAUAUUCGGAAGAACACCAGUGGCGAAGGCGGCUCACUGGACUGGUAUUGACGCUGAGGUGCGAAAGCGUGGGGAGCAAACAGGAUUAGAU